UUACAGCCAUAUCAAGUUGAUACACUGGUUCUCAUACAGACAGUGAAGUUAAGCCAUGCUGAGCUUGGUCAGUACUUCGAUGAAUAACCUCUUAGGAAUAUCAGAUGCUGU